CAGUGGAUGUACCAAACUUAAUUGUUGUCUUACUUUAAGAAAUUGCCAGAGCCACCAAUCUUCACAACCACCACCCUCAACAGCAGUCAUCAACAUCAAGGCCAUACCCUCCAGCAGCAAAAAGAUGAUGACUCCCUGAAAGCUCAGACGGUGAUUAGCGCCUCACAGCAAUAAAGAAUUUUUUAAUUAAGGAUGGUUGGAGACAUAAAAAUGUACGUACAUAUUCUGUAAAAGAUCACAUAAAUAGUUAAUGUUUGUGUUAUGCUAAUCCACCUCUCUGCCUCAACCUUCUCAACCACGGAUAACUGCCUAACAGCAACAGCUGGAGCUCUUUUUCUGCUUAUUAAACAAAAGAUACCAAAAUGAAAUCAACUUCUUAAGAGACCAGCUACAUUUAAAAAACAGUGGAGUGAGAAACAAAGAUAAUAAAAUGUUGAUGGUUUUUGAUGCAAUUAUGAGUCUGUGAGGGUCUCACUUUCUCUCUACUUUCGUUUAUGUUUGGAAAUUUUCAUUAGUGAAAUAUUUUUUAAAACUGAAAAAAAUAGUGGCAAAAACAUCAACAUAAUUU